GAUGAACGCUGGCGGCGUGCCUAAUACAUGCAAGUCGAGCGAACGGACGAGAAGCUUGCUUCUCUGAUGUUAGCGGCGGACGGGUGAGUAACACGUGGAUAACCUACCUAUAAGACUGGGAUAACUUCGGGAAACCGGAGCUAAUACCGGAUAAUAUUUUGAACCGCAUGGUUCAAAAGUGAAAGACGGCCUUGCUGUCACUUAUAGAUGGAUCCGCGCUGCAUUAGCUAGUUGGUAAGGUAACGGCUUACCAAGGCAACGAUGCAUAGCCGACCUGAGAGGGUGAUCGGCCACACUGGAACUGAGACACGGUCCAGUCUCCUACGGGAGGCAGCAGUAGGGAAUCUUCCGCAAUGGGCGAAAGCCUGACGGAGCAACGCCGCGUGAGUGAUGAAGGUCUUCGGAUCGUAAAACUCUGUUAUUAGGGAAGAACAUAUGUGUAAGUAACUGUGCACAUCUUGACGGUACCUAAUCAGAAAGCCACGGCUAACUACGUG
rnacentral:rRNA from 1 species